AUUGAACGCUGGCGGCAGGCUUAACACAUGCAAGUCGAGCGGUAGCACAGGGGAGCUUGCUCCCUGGGUGACGAGCGGCGGACGGGUGAGUAAUGUCUGGGAAACUGCCUGAUGGAGGGGAAUAACUACUGGAAACGGUAGCUAAUACCGCAUAACGUCGCAAGACCAAAGAGGGGGACCUUCGGGCCUCUUGCCAUCAGAUGUGCCCAGAUGGGAUUAGCUAGUAGGUGGGGUAAUGGCUCACCUAGGCGACGAUCCCUAGCUGGUCUGAGAGGAUGACCAGCCACACUGGAACUGAGACACGGUCCAGACUCCUACGGGAGGCAGCAGUGGGGAAUAUUGCACAAUGGGCGCAAGCCUGAUGCAGCCAUGCCGCGUGUGUGAAGAAGGCCUUCGGGUUGUAAAGCACUUUCAGCGAGGAGGAAGGUGGUGAGCUUAAUACGUUCAUCAAUUGACGUUACUCGCAGAAGAAGCACCGGCUAACUCCGUG
rnacentral:rRNA from 1 species